ACGGGGCCCGCACAAGCGGUGGAGCAUGUGGUUUAAUUCGACGCAACGCGCAGAACCUUACCGGGGCUUGACAUCCCGAUCGCAUCCCAUGGAAACAUGGGAGUCAGUUCGGCUGGAUCGGUGACAGGUGCUGCAUGGCUGUCGUCAGCUCGUGUCGUGAGAUGUUGGGUUAAGUCCCGCAACGAGCGCAACCCUUGUCCUUAGUUGCCAGCAUUCAGUUGGGCACUCUAAGGAGACUGCCGGUGUUAAACCGGAGGAAGGUGGGGAUGACGUCAAGUCCUCAUGGCCCUUAUGUCCAGGGCUACACACGUGCUACAAUGGCCGGUACAAAGGGCUGCAAGACCGUGAGGUUGAGCGAAUCCCAGAAAGCCGGUCUCAGUUCGGAUUGGAGUCUGCAACUCGACUCCAUGAAGUUGGAAUCGCUAGUAAUCGCGGAUCAGCAUGCCGCGGUCGAAUACGUUCCCGGGCCUU
rnacentral:rRNA from 1 species